rnacentral:lncRNA from 1 species
UUUGGUUUAAUGCUGGAUUUAAUUAAGAUAAACCUAAGAGAUUAGGAGCUCAAGAGCACAGUGGAAAGUAUAAACCAGUAUGUAUUUACUACAUUUAGUCCAAAUAUUAGUUAACUUCCAAACCAAAAAUCUGCAUUUUUUGUACAGCUUAUUUUGUGGCUUAAAAUUGGUAAAAGACCAAACCUCUACGAGUAUUUAUUUUACAGUAGCAACGUAACUUCUUUGUAGCCUAACCGAUCAUAUGCAAAAUGCUACUCGAAUCCCAAAAGGGUAUUAAGACUCUGGGCAUGAUAAGUGCAGAAAUUUAACUAUGUUCUAGCCCAUGUUAACUUUUUUCCUACAAUAUACAGCAAAAUAAAGUUUUACAGAAACUUGUAUCAUGAAUGUAGCUGUCCUCCAUGAAGUGUUUGUUGGUUGAAAUGACUAAUAACAAAGGAAAAUACUCACAGAUGUAGUUUAGGCUUAACAGAUUGACUGAUUCACAGCCCUGGGGAAACUCACCUGUUCUGUGCAAGUGGGAAGCUGAAGGCAAGUAUUUAUCACAACCCAGCAGAGUAUAUUCUGACUUCAGGUUGUACUUGCUUGUGGCUGUUCCUCUCUAACCAACAAGGGUAUUCUUCCACUUUUGGUGCUUCAUGUGCUUGCAAAGCUCAGCAGAAACUUUUGAUAAAUUGUUCCUUUUUACCAGUAAGUUCAUUAUAUUGGAAGUAAACCUUAUACCAGUAAAUGUCAUACCUCUUACGUCAUAUUUCCGCUUCCAUAUUUUGCACACUGGGCACUGAACAAAAUUGACUACUUUUCUGAAGGUAAAAGUAAAUUCACUGGUAUUUCCCCCAUAGAGCUUCCUUUCACAGGAACAGCAUCAGCGAGAUCUCAAAAUGCUUCUAAAGUUACUCCUUAAUUUUAGGGAGGAAAACAAGACCAAAGAGUAAGACAACAGUAUUUCGCUAAGCAGCAAUAAGCCAAAUACAGUCAAAUUUUAGUGUAUGGAGUACUGUGACAUACACAGUAUAGAUUAAUUCUUCACUGGUCGUAAUGACUCUUUCUUGGGGUUGCUUUUGCAAUAAGUAGUGAAAAUUGAACAUCAUCAUUACAUUCAUGUGCAACUGCUACAGUUGGUUUGGACCUCCUGUAACACUAGCACUCCUACCAACCUCCCCUGCCUCCUAAUAGCAAACUUCUAAGGAAUAUUAAAAAGCUGGUAAUUUAUUUCCUUUAUAAUUCCCUUUCAGUACUGUCACAGAGGCUGGCACUAUCACAGCACUUCUUCCUUGCUGUAAUACAGUGCCAAAUGCAGUGAUGAAAAUGAGUGAAAUUCAAAGUAAUCUGAAACAACUUAGCACUUGUCUGGUACUAGAUGGACAGUAAACGUGGGAAAAAAAAUUAUUUCCCAAGUGCUAUUUUACUGCACUGCGAACUUGCAGUCAGAUUGCAUACGUGCUUUUUUAACAUCCCUUACACAUAUGAACACUUUGGUCUCCUAACUAAUUUGAAGAACUGGAUUUCCUUCCUUAAGGGGGAAAACCUCC